UCACACAAACAAAAGGAGGAUAAAAAACAAUCUAAAAUCAAUAAGUGACCAGAAGUGCCAGAAAAUCAAACUGCAUGGAAUUCUGACAACCAAGGAAUUAAAGAAACAGUCAACCUGACCAACUAGACCAGUAAGAUGGGCAGACCAAGAGAA